rnacentral:rRNA from 1 species
UACGAAGGGGGCUAGCGUUGCUCGGAAUGACUGGGCGUAAAGGGCGCGUAGGCGGUGUGGUAAGUCUGAUGUGAAAACUCUAGGCUCAACUUGGAGAUUGCAUCAGAAACUGCCGUGCUAGAGUGCGGGAGAGGAGAGUGGAAUUCCUGGUGUAGCGGUGAAAUGCGUAGAUAUCAGGAGGAACACCGGUGGCGAAGGCGGCUCUCUGGACCGCAACUGACGCUGAUGCACGAAAGCUAGGGGAGCAAACAGG